rnacentral:rRNA from 1 species
CUUCUGUGAAAUAUAAAUUAAGUCAAAGCCUGAUCUCAUCAAAUCUCAAAAGCUAGACAGGGCUGGGCGUGGUUAGUACCUGGUGGGAGACCUCUGGGAAUACCAGGUGCCACAGUGGG